CACAGGACCGAUGUUGUGAAUCAUGCUUGUGAUAUGUUGCAGCGCCUUCAGCUCGAAAUACAAUGUUUGGAAGAGGAAGCUAAGCGGCUGAAUAGCACCAAGGAGGAGGAGGAGGAACAUGGCAAUAGGAUCAGUGCUGCAGG
rnacentral:ribozyme from 1 species